UACAGGGGGGGCAAGCGUUGUUCGGAAUUACUGGGCGUAAAGGGCUCGUAGGUGGCCAACUAAGUCAGACGUGAAAUCCCUCAGCUUAACUGGGGAACUGCGUCUGAUACUGGAUGGCUUGAGUUUGGGAGAGGGAUGCGGAAUUCCAGGUGUAGCGGUAAAAUGCGUAGAUAUCUGGAGGAACACCGGUGGCGAAGGCGGCAUCCUGGACCAACACUGACACUGAGGAGCGAAAGCCAGGGGAGCAAACGGG
rnacentral:rRNA from 1 species